UACGUAGGGACCGAGCGUUGUCCGGAAUCAUUGGGCGUAAAGAGCGUGUAGGCGGCCACUUAAGUCCUGCGUGAAAUCUUGCGGCUCAACCGCAAGCGGUCGUGGGAAACUGGGUGGCUAGAGUGCGGGAGAGGAGAGUGGAAUUCCCGGUGUAGCAGUGAAAUGCGUAGAUAUCGGGAGGAACACCAGUGGCGAAGGCGGCCUUCUGGACCAGUACUGACGCUCAUGCACGAAAGCGUGGGGAGCAAACAGG
rnacentral:rRNA from 1 species